CGGGAUGUAGUUCAAUUGGCUAGAAUGUGCGCUUCGGGUGCGCAAGGUUGUGAGUUCAAGUCUCACCAUCCCGA
rnacentral:tRNA from 1 species